rnacentral:rRNA from 1 species
AUUGAACGCUGGCGGCAUGCCUUACUCAUGCAAGUCGAACGGCAGCACGGGAGCAAUCCUGGUGGCGAGUGGCGAACGGGUGAGUAAUACAUCGGAACGUGCCCAGUAGUGGGGGAUAACCCGGCGAAAGCCGGACUAAUACCGCAUACGACCUACGGGUGAAAGCGGGGGAUCGCAAGACCUCGCGCUAUCGGAGCGGCCGAUGUCAGAUUAGCUAGUUGGUGGGGUAAAGGCCUACCAAGGCGACGAUCUGUAGCUGGUCUGAGAGGACGACCAGCCACACUGGGACUGAGACACGGCCCAGACUCCUACGGGAGGCAGCAGUGGGGAAUUUUGGACAAUGGGCGCAAGCCUGAUCCAGCCAUGCCGCGUGCGGGAAGAAGGCCUUCGGGUUGUAAACCGCUUUUGUCAGGGAAGAAACGCUCCGGGCUAAUACCACGGAGUAAUGACGGUACCUGAAGAAUAAGCACCGGCUAACUACGUG